rnacentral:rRNA from 1 species
GAAGGCACAUCAUAGAGGGUGAUAGUCCCGUACGGGUAGAAAGUUUAAUUGUAAGAGAGUAGGGCGGAGCACGAGAAAUUCUGUCUGAAGAUAGGUCGACCACGAUCUAAGGCUAAGUACUACUGAUUGACCGAUAGUGAACCAGUACCGUGAGGGAAAGGUGAAAAGCACCCCUAUAAGGGGAGUGAAAGAGAACCUGAAACCGGAUGCCUACAAGCAGUCGGAGGGGCAUUAAGCCCUGACGGCGUACCUUUUGUAUAAUGGGUCAGCGAGUUAGUUUAUGUAGCAAGCAUAAGCCGAUAGGUGGAUGCGUAGCGAAAGCGAGUGUUAAUAGCGCGUUAAGUUACAUGAAUUAGACCCGAAACCGAGUGAUCUAGCCAUGAACAGGUUGAAGGUUGGGUAACACCAACUGGAGGACCGAACCCACUCCCGUUGAAAAGGUAGGGGAUGAAUUGUGGCUAGGGGUGAAAGGCCAAUCAAACUCGGAAAUAGCUGGUUCUCCGCGAAAACUAUUUAGGUAGUGCGGCAAGCGGACACGUUGAGGGGUAGAGCACUGAAAGAGCUAAGGGGGAGCGAUCCUUACUAAACUUUAUCAAACUCCGAAUACUCAUGAGUGAUACUUACCAGACAGACAGUAGGUGCUAAGGUCUAUUGUCGAGAGGGAAAGAGCCCAGACCGUCAAUUAAGGUCCCUAAAUUAUGGCUAAGUGGUAAAGGAAGUGGGAUAUCCAAAACAGUCAGGAGGUUGGCUUAGAAGCAGCCAUCCUUUAAAGAAAGCGUAAUAGCUCACUGAUCUAAAUAAGACGUCCUGCGCCGAAGAUGUAACGGGGCUAAAGCCAUAUACCGAAGUUACGGGAUUGUAUUGCAAUAGAUACAAUCGGUAGCGGAGCGUUCUGUAGGCCUGCGAAGGUGAACCGUAAGGUUUGCUGGAGGUAUCAGAAGUGAGAAUGCUGACAUGAGUAGCGAAAAGAAGAGUGAGAGACACUUCCGCUGAAAGUCCAAGGUUUCCUGCGUAAAGCUAAUCUGCGCAGGGUUAGUCGGCCCCUAAGGCGAGGCAGAGAUGCGUAGCUGAUGGGAACACGGUUAAUAUUCCGUGACCAGUUAGGAAGUGACGGAUACAGUAGUUUGUACAUGCUUAAUGGAUUGUGUGUGCAAGUGAUGUGUCCCGGGAAAUAGCCCUAACGAAGACCGUACCCGAAACCGACACAGGUGGACAGGUAGAGUAUACCAAAGCGCUUGAGAGAACUAUGUUGAAGGAACUAGGCAAAAUGCUUGUGUAACUUCGGGAUAAGCAAGCCCGGUUUUAAGGCAACUUAAGGCCGGGGGCACAUACUAGGGGGUAGCGACUGUUUAACAAAAACACAGGACUCUGCGAAAUUGAAAGAUGAAGUAUAGGGUCUGACGCCUGCCCGGUGCCGGAAGGUUAAGGAGAGAUGUGAGAGCAUUGAACUGAAGCCCCGGUAAACGGCGGCCGUAACUAUAACGGUCCUAAGGUAGCGAAAUUCCUUGUCGGGUAAGUUCCGACCUGCACGAAUGGCGUAACGACUUCCCCGCUGUCUCCAACAUAGACUCAGCGAAAUUGAAUUCUGAGUUAAGAUGCUCAGUACCCGCGGUUAGACGGAAAGACCCCGUGAACCUUUACUAUAGCUUUGCAGUGGUAUUAGGUAAGACAUGUGUAGGAUAGGUGGGAUGCUAUGAAGUUAUGACGCUAGUUGUAAUGGAGCAGACGUUGAAAUACCACCCUUGUGUUAUUUGAUAUCUAACCUGCUUCCGUAAACCGGAAGAGGGACCCUGCAUGGUGGGUAGUUUGACUGGGGCGG